rnacentral:rRNA from 1 species
GGUUGAUCCUGCCAGUAGUCAUAUGCUUGUCUCAAAU